rnacentral:rRNA from 1 species
AAUCAACGCUGGCGGCGUGCCUCAGACAUGCAAGUCGAACGCGAAAGUCCCCUUCGGGGGACAAGUAGAGUGGCGCACGGGUGAGUAACACGUAGGUAAUCCACCUUCGGAUGGGGAAUAACAACCGGAAACGGUUGCUAAUACCGCAUAAUGCAGCGGCACCUAAUGGUGACAGUUGUUAAAGCGGGGGAUCGAAAGACCUCGCGUCUGAAGAGGAGCCUGCGGCGGAUUAGCAGUUGGUAAGGUAACGGCUUACCAAGGCGACGAUCCGUAGCCGGCCUGAGAGGGCGGUCGGCCACACUGACACUGACAUACGGGUCAGACUCCGUACGGGAGGCAGCAGUCGGG